GACGAACGCUGGCGGCGUGCUUAACACAUGCAAGUCGAACGGAAAGGCCCUGCUUUUGUGGGGUGCUCGAGUGGCGAACGGGUGAGUAACACGUGAGUAACCUGCCCUUGACUUUGGGAUAACUUCAGGAAACUGGGGCUCAUACCGGAUAGGAGCUCCUGAUGCAUGGUGGGGGUUGGAAAGUUUCGGCGGUUGGGGCUGGACUCGCGGCUUAUCAGCCUGUUGGUGGGGUAGUGGCUUACCAAGGCUUUGACGGGUAGCCGGCCUGAGAGGGGGACCGGCCACAAUGGGACUGAGAUACGGCCCAGACGCCUACGGGAGGCAGCAGUGGGGAAUAUUGCACAAUAGGCGGAAGCCUGAUGCAGCAACGCCGCGUGCGGGAUGACGGCCUUCGGGUUGUAAACCGCUUUCGCCUGUGACGAAGCGUGAGUGACGGUAAUGGGUAAAGAAGCACCGGCUAACUACGUG
rnacentral:rRNA from 1 species